CGCCGGUGCGUGCGGCUGGGCAGAGACCGGCUGCGGAAGGACGAGGGCUGGGAGCCUCCUUCUCAAGAACCCCGACUGUCUGGACGCUGGGAGGCCGCUUCGGGAUUGGGCCCACUGUCCUGUCCCAAAGGAGAUGCCUGCCAAAAGGGAGUAGAAGGCUCAAGUCAAGAGAAGACACAGGACUGAUUCAAGGCUGUGGGAGUUCUUGAGCUUUCUUCAUGGGCUCCCAUUUCAGAUGUGAGGGUUAGUGCAAACUCCCAUGGAUGAGCCUGCUGCAGAAUUUUAUAAAAAAUUCUCAAAUCUUCCUGGCCUCAAAUCUUCCUCCGUGAGUGGAUUUGGUGAUUUGGAAACAAUUGAAGUCAUUUGGAAGUAAAUCUGGUGAC